AAUAAUCUCAUCUACAUCCAAACCCAAUCCCUAGCUGUCAGAGCCCUCGCCGGAGAAGACAGCCCAGCCACCGGAGGAACCGACCGCUGCCACCCGCCGCCACACUGGAGCACUUUCCGGCUGCCAAACGAGUUAAAAAUUUUCUUUUUGGCUCGGAUUUCGAUUCUAAACCCACCUGUGGCCAAAUCGGAGCCAAAACACCGGCCAAUUGCCCAAAAAAUGCCGCCGAAGCCUAGCGGCGCCGCCGCAGGUUUACUCGAUUUUUACCUCCGAUGAGGUCCUUCUCGAUUUUCGUUUGAUGUAAUUUUUCCACAAUUGUGACCACCGUCCUUUCCUCUACAGGUUGACCGGAGCAAAACACCAAACCGCGACUCGAGUCAGAGGAGUCGCCGCACCCGAGAGCUCCGCCACCGAUAAGUCUCAGUUUUCUGUAUUUUUUUAGCCCACUGAGGGCCCUACGUGUGUUUUAUCACAAGAACCAAUGCAAGUUUGACUGAAUUUGGUCGAAAACGGUCAACCUGAUGCGGAUCGCGGCGGUGCCGUCGCCGGAAUACGACGUAGCCUCUGUGCCGAAAUUUCGAAAUUGGCCGAAUAGGCCCUAGGUCUGAUUUUAAGUUAUUUGGGGACACGUGUAGGUACCGGA
rnacentral:lncRNA from 1 species